CGGGGAAAAUGAAAUAUGGAAUAGAAAAGUCGAGAUAUUUUUUUGGCUGGUUUCUUGGCAAGUGAUAUACUGUUUCCAUUUGAUCAGCUACACGAGGCAAAUCAAAAAAUUCAGGAACUGGUCAAAGAACAAGAUAGUUUUAUUGAUAUAUUCUCAGAAGAACGAGAGCGUCGAAAUACCGAGGAAGAAAAUUUGAGAAAGAAAUUGAAGGAGGCAUCAAAUACCAUCCAAGAAUUGCUCGACAGGGUGAGACUAUUGGAGAAAAGGUCUUCAAAUGGAAAACUGGACCGUUGAGAAAUAGUGAUAGGAUUCUGCGUGGUCCAUUUCUUUUUUAGAGCAUCAGUGCUUUCAAAACACGUUAAAAGUGUGCGAACGUACUGAAGGCAUGUAAUCGCUUUUGAUAAAGUUGAGGAGCACCACUUUUCCGAGACAGGUAACUGAUGCCUGGUUCUUUCUAUGGCUUCUCAUGUUCAUAGAUGACGUGACGUUAGGUUAGUAUUCAGGGAUGUCAAUAUUAUUCCCUCUUACGUACAGCAAUGUCUCAAAUGAUUUACUAAUUUUGUGUAGCUUUACCCAGAUUUAUCUAAUAUGGAAAAUAUCCCUCCUUUCUGCACUUCA